CGAACGGGUGAGUAACGCGUGAGGAACCUGCCUCAAAGAGGGGGACAACAGUUGGAAACGACUGCUAAUACCGCAUAAGCCCACGGCUCGGCAUCGAGCAGAGGGAAAAGGAGCAAUCCGCUUUGAGAUGGCCUCGCGUCCGAUUAGCUGGUUGGUGAGGUAACGGCCCACCAAGGCGACGAUCGGUAGCCGGACUGAGAGGUUGAACGGCCACAUUGGGACUGAGACACGGUCCAA
rnacentral:rRNA from 1 species